GAGCGGGUCUGGGCGGCUGCCGGCAGCGCCAUGGAGACGGUACAGCUGAGGAACCCGCCGCGCCGGCAGCUGAAAAAGUUGGAUGAAGAUAGUUUAACCAAACAACCAGAAGAAGUAUUUGAUGUCUUAGAGAAACUUGGAGAAGGAUUUACAACGUUAAACCCAAUCCUGGAUUACAUGAAAUGGUUUUUUUAUGAUUUACCUCCUUGUAAAAAACAUUAGUCAUCGUCUUUUUGUAAGUUGGAAAAAUACUCUUCGGAAUCCAGCAAGAAAUCAAGCAGAGAAGGGAAGUAAAAAUGACACACCAGCUGUGCUGUGAAAAGACAAGUCCAAGAUGAAUCUGAAGACUGCCAGUUGACUGGCAUCAUUAAAGAUCUAUGGAUGUCUUCUGCAAGGAAUGUGGAAAUUUCCCUAUGAAGAUAUCACCAGGGAGAAAACAAAGCUUCAGAUCUUUCUUCCCAUACUAUCACCUUAUUGUUCUUCUAAAUAAUACCAGAUUUCUGGUAUUUCUUGGAUUUCUGUUAUUCUGACUGAAUGAACCUAAGCAAG
rnacentral:sRNA from 1 species